rnacentral:rRNA from 1 species
CAGAGGGGGCAAGCGUUAUUCGGAAUUAUUGGGCGUAAAGGGCGCGUAGGCGGCUUUGCAAGUGACGGGUGAAAGCCCUCGGCUUAACCGAGGAACUGCCUGUCAGACUGUGAGGCUUGAGACCAGGAGAGGUGAGUGGAAUUCCCAGUGUAGCGGUGAAAUGCGUAGAUAUUGGGAGGAACACCAGUGGCGAAGGCGGCUCACUGGACUGGUACUGACGCUGAGGCGCGAAAGCGUGGGGAGCAAACAGGAUUAGAUACCCUGGUAGUCCACGCCGUAAACGAUGAGUGCUUGGUGUAGCGGGUAUCGACCCCUGCUGUGCCGAAGUCAACACAUUAAGCACUCCGCCUGGGGAGUACGGUCGCAAGACUG